UCUCAAAUUUGUUUUUUUUUUAAUGAUAAUUCAAACAAGCAUUUAUUCUAAACAUUAUUAUUAGCUUUAUAUUUUAAUAUUUUAGACAAAAGAAGCAGACCGGUGCUCCAUAUGGCAUGCGCCAUCUUAAAAUACAGUGACCUUUUAGGGACAUACAACAUAUUAAGCUUCGCAUUUGAUGUUUGCGUUUUUAAAUGAUGUAACCUCAAAGAAACAGCAGGGGGCAGAAGUGCGCCUUGUAAGCAUGCAGUCUGACAAAGUAACUAAGAAGAAGAAGAAACUAGCCACACCGUACUUCUAGCGAUGGAGGAUCACACAUAUUCUUCAAGCAAACUUGAGAAACGGGAUAGUUUGUCUCAUCCAAGUAAAAGAAAAAGGAUUUUGAAAAGUGAACAAGACCGGCGUCAUGAGAAAACCAGAGUAAAUAUAGGAGUUGCCUUCCCAAGAUGGAGAGACCUCAUGUUACAAAAGGGAUUCAGUAGACACGCUGAGCUUGCUACCUUCCUUUUGGACAGAUAAGUUAAAAAUAUUCAAACGGAAGUACAAUAAGAAUGCCAAAAGGUACAGUGUGUAUUCACUAAAAUCAGAAAAGGGCUACGAAUACAUUCCAGUACUCCAAUCAAAUAUAAUCAACGAGAGGUUGGCGAGAGGAGUCGGGAUGCCUCGUACCAGAUCAAUGAGGGAUGAUGACCCCAGACGGCUCGGUCUUGUGCCACCCAUCGCUCCACCACCUAUUUCGGAGCUAGUGCAGAUCCAAGUCAGCCGAGGUCUUGUAUCAGAACUCAACACAGCUACAGGCCUCCAGUGACGAUCUUGUCUACAUUUACAUGGAGUAUUCUAUACCUGCUGCGUGUUACUAAUGUAAUGUACAUAAAAAUGUAGAUAUUGCACUUUGAUGUCUUUCCUACUGUGCUAACAUGUUGUUCUUUUUACUUGAAGUAGCACAUAAAUUCUGCACAGUCUUUUACGUUAGAUCUAUUCUUUAUUAUUCUAAAGUGUGUAAAAUCAUGUUUCAAGAUUAAAAUGUGUUCCAAAUUUGUCUGUUAAAACUCUGAAUAAGGUUAAUUCAAAUAAAAGUGCAUCUGUA